GCACAAGCAGCGAGCGUGUGGUUUAAUUCGAUGCUACACGAAGAGCCUUACCUGGGUUUGACAUAGAGGUAGUAGGGAAGCGAAAGCGGACCGACCCUUCGGGGAGCCUCUACAGGUGUUGCAUGGCUGUCGUCAGCUCGUGUCGUGAGAUGUUCGGUUAAGUCCGCUAACGAGCGCAACCCUCGCUGUGUGUUACAAGUGUCACACGGUACUGCCGAUAUUAAGUCGGAGGAAGUGGGGAUGACGUCAAGUCAGCAUGACCUUUAUAUCCAGGGCUACACACACGCUACAAUGGCCAGUACAAUGGGUUGCCAAGCCGCGAGGCGGAGCCAAUCCUAAAAACCAUCCUCAGUACGGAUUGCAGGCUGAAACCCGCCUGCAUGAAGCCGGAGUUGCUAGUAACCGCAUAUCAGCAUGGUGCCGGUGAACUACGUUCUCGGGCCUU
rnacentral:rRNA from 1 species